rnacentral:rRNA from 1 species
AUUGAACGCUGGCGGCAUGCCUUACACAUGCAAGUCGAACGGCAGCACGGGUGCUUGCACCUGGUGGCGAGUGGCGAACGGGUGAGUAAUACAUCGGAACAUGUCCUGUAGUGGGGGAUAGCCCGGCGAAAGCCGGAUUAAUACCGCAUACGAUCUACGGAUGAAAGCGGGGGACCUUCGGGCCUCGCGCUAUAGGGUUGGCCGAUGGCUGAUUAGCUAGUUGGUGGGGUAAAGGCCUACCAAGGCGACGAUCAGUAGCUGGUCUGAGAGGACGACCAGCCACACUGGGACUGAGACACGGCCCAGACUCCUACGGGAGGCAGCAGUGGGGAAUUUUGGACGAUGGGCGAAAGCCUGAUCCAGCAAUGCCGCGUGUGAAGAAGGCCUUCGGGUUGUAAAGCACUUUUGUCCGGAAAGAAAUCCUUGGCCCUAAUACGGUCGGGGGAUGACGGUACCGGAAGAAUAAGCACCGGCUAACUACGUG